rnacentral:tRNA from 1 species
GCCUGCCUGGCUUAGUCAGUAGAGCAUGCGACUCUUAAUCUUAGAGUUGUGAGUUUGAGCCCCACGUUGGGUG